AUAGAUUCGUUUAUUUUAAUUUUUCUAUGCGGUUAAUGUAUUCGUAAGAUUUUUUUGAUGUUUAUUGUUAGUAAGAAUUAACUUCUGUACCUUUUGUAUAAGAGUCUAUUAAGAUGUAAAUAUUUAUUUUAUUCUCCCGACAGUAAGAAAUUUAUUAAAUUGGGUUAAUUUAAUGUUUCAAUAUUAAAUUAAACUCUUUAAUAAUUGGCUAGAUACUAUAUUGCUCUUACAGGUAUCUGGUUAGCUUUGAAAUAUAUUUAGUAUAGAGCUUUCUAGAAAAGCAUUUAUGACGUUUUGGCUAAGCAGAAUGUAAGAAUUUAUUGAAUUCAUGUAUAAAGUUUAUUAAUUAGAUAGGCUUAAUGUUAGUAAUUAGUUAGUUUGUUAUAAAAAAUUUAAUAAUGGAGUGAAAAAUUAGUUUUUGAAAAUCAUUAAUUUAAUGGGCUUAAAUUUUUUAUAAAUUACAAUAAUGAUUAGAAUUAGUAGAAAAUAGUAUUUAAGCUAUUGCUUAGUUAUAGUUAGUAAUAAUUUAAAUGUUUCUUUAUUUAAUUUUUUUGUAAUUAAUUCGGCAAAUAUACUUUCCGAAUGUUUAACAAAAACAUUUCCUCUUGAGUUUGAUUAUAGGAGGUACGCCCUGCCCUAUGCUCUGUGGAGUAAAUGGCUGCAUAAAUCUGAGUGUACGAAGGUAGCAUGAUAAUUUGCCCUUUAAAUGGGGGCCUGUAUGAAUGGGUUUACGUGAUAGUUGCUGUGUCACAAGAAUUUAAUUGAAAUUAACUUUUAGGUGAAGAGGCCUAGUUGAGUUUAAAGGACGACAAGACCCUAGAAGCUUUACUAAGGGUGAGUUACAAGGUAAGUUAUUCCAGUUUUGUUGGGGCAACAUAGUUAGAAAAUAUAACUUGUUUUACAUUGACUUACAAGUUAAAGCCACAGUAGUGAGUAAGAUAAGCUACUCUAGGGAUAACAGCGUAAUUUCUUUUAAUAGUACUUAUUGUAAAAGUAGUUUGCGACCUCGAUGUUGGAUUAAGGUAUCCUUAAGGUGUAUAAUUUUUAAAGGGUUGGUCUGUUCGUCCAUUAAAACCUUACAUGAUCUGAGUUCAGACCGGUGUGAGCUAGGUCAGAUUCUAUCCUUAUAUCUAUAAAUGUAAUUAAAUUAGUACGAAAGGAAUUUUUAAUUUAAAAAUAUUUAAGCUAUUUGAUUUUGUUAAAGUUAAUUUAAAAUAAAUUGACUUGUAUUGAGCUAGAGAUGUGUGU
rnacentral:rRNA from 1 species